GGUAUGCAUCCUCAUCCUGGGCUAGUUAACGAUCCCUUUGAUCGUUUACCAUAUGUUGAAGUAUACAAAGAUGCCGUUGGGGAAGAUUCGUCACAUCACCAAAUACCUACAGGGAGUGUGCAAGCCGGUUAGGAAGACGCUAGACGAUGAGAAAAAGAGUUUUCUCUAUCCAGUUUCAUCCAUCUCCAUUUAUGCUGUUGGCUUUAACAUAGUCACGUCAUUCCAUUACAUCAGCAGGAUAGCUGCCCGUAGUUCUUGAGACAUAUGGAGUCGGGACGCAAUAUACUACGGAUGACUCGAAGGUUACCGUAAUAAAAACAGAAGAAAGGAACCAUUCCAUCUCAAGUUUUGACAAUAAGACUUACCAUACAUAAAAACAAAUAAAAAAAUACCUACUCUUUCCAACCAAAGUGUUGGCUAUAAAAUGAAACCAUUAAACUGUUCUUUUGUAUACAUAGCCCAGAUUUAAUGCAUUCAUACCAAGGAUAUUGUCGAUCCGUAAUAUCGGGCCGGACCACCACACCCUGUCGAUAUGAUGUAUAUCAGCAAUAAUUGUAUAAGAUUAACAGCUCAAGGCAACAUGGUUCCGUUUCAACCUGAUUCAUUGUACAUUGCCAAUAAAAUUUUGAAAAUCCCAGUUUGGGUGGACAUUUAUUUCUUCGUCUUGGACAGAAAUAAAUCGCAACUGUUGUUUGUAUA